GAACACGAGAAGGCGUGCGGUAACCUAGAGUUGGCCCCGGACACGAUAAGGAGGCUAUGAGCGACGAGACACGUAUACGGCCGCGAAGAAAAGCACAAAGGAGGACCAACAGCAACGUAGACUCUCUCUGUGAUAUUGGAAUCCUGAAGAAUUGAUCAUGAGGAAUCCUGAUAUUGGAAUCCUGGAAUCUCAUAUUGGAAUCCUGAGGACCUGGCAUUCGACUUUCAGAUGGGUGGUGACACAGACAGCUUAUACAGGAAAUUUAAGUCGUUGAUUUCAACCUGCCUGAAUAAAUAUGUACCCAUGACAAGAAAGAAAAUACAAAAUAGCCACCCGUGGAUUACCCGGGAGAUUAUUCACCUUAAAAGCGAUUAAGCGUAGGCGUAUAGCCAGUGGCGCAGACAGGCAACUAAUGCUCUCUCCCUUGCAACGCAUUAAGAGAUAAGCCAGCCUCGCACCCAGCGCUUUCGCACUCAGCAAACUCCGGCAAGGAGGAGAGCGAUGCCAGGGAGGAAGCACACGGCACGUGUGCUUUCCUUCUCUCUGGCAUGGGCAGUAAACAGUUUUCAACGUGCUCCCCCGGCUAGACGGCGCUGCGCUUUCAACAUGGCGGCGAUCACGGGAAAACGGUGUAUAAAGCUGCCCUCAAAAGUUCUGGCGCUAUUUGUCAGACAUCAAAAGACCUGUCGAGCAGAUAAAAGUAGCGGAUGAUGUCAUCAGCGACACUGAUUGUAUUGCGAAUGAAUUCAAUCGCACAUUCUUUAAAGUGUUUUCCCAACCUUCUUGCAACGCGUCUGUGAACCUCACUCGGUCAUUACCGGCAAUGCUGGCAACUUCUGCGAGUAGUACAGGCAUAUUCGACCUGCUCCUAAAUAUUGACCCCAAAAAUUCGCCUAGUUAUAAUAUACCAAAUGAAGUCUUAAGGCGCUACUCUGAAAUGCUGGUC